GACGGAAGGUGCAAGCGUUGCUCGGAAUCACUGGGCGUAAAGGGUGCGUAGGCGGCCGCGCAAGUCUGGCGUGAAAGCCCCGGGCUCAGCCCGGGAAGGGCGCUCGAAACGGCGCGGCUCGAGUGCCGGAGGGGAGAGUGGAAUUCCUGGUGUAGCGGUGAAAUGCGCAGAUAUCAGGAGGAACACCGAUGGCGAAGGCAGGUCUCUGGGCAUUAACUGACGCUGAGGAGCGAAAGCAUGGGGAGCGAACAGG
rnacentral:rRNA from 1 species